rnacentral:rRNA from 1 species
UGGGGAAUAUUGCACAAUGGGCGAAAGCCUGAUGCAGCAACGCCGCGUGAGUGAUGAAGGCCUUCGGGUUGUAAAGCUCUGUCUUUUGGGACGAUAAUGACGGUACCAAAGGAGGAAGCCACGGCUAACUACGUGCCAGCAGCCGCGGUAAUACGUAGGUGGCAAGCGUUGUCCGGAUUUACUGGGCGUAAAGGAUGCGUAGGCGGAUUUUUAAGUGAGAUGUGAAAUACCCGGGCUUAACUUGGGUGCUGCAUUUCAAACUGGGAAUCUAGAGUGCGGGAGAGGAGAAUGGAAUUCCUAGUGUAGCGGUGAAAUGCGUAGAGAUUAGGAAGAACACCAGUGGCGAAGGCGAUUCUCUGGACCGUAACUGACGCUGAGGCAUGAAAGCGUGGGUAGCAAACAGGAUUAGAUACCCUGGUAGUCCACGCCGUAAACGAUGAGUACUAGGUGUAGGAGGUAUCGACCCCUUCUGUGCCGCAGUUAACACAAUAAGUACUCCGCCUGGGAAGUACGAUCGCAAGAUUAAAAGCUUAAAUGAAUUGACGGGGUCAUAGCUGUUUCCU